rnacentral:rRNA from 1 species
UACGUAGGGGGCAAGCGUUGUCCGGAAUUAUUGGGCGUAAAGGGCGCGUAGGCGGCCACGCACGUCCGUUGUGAAAUCGCCCGGCUCAACUGGGCGGGGUCGGCGGAUACGGCGUGGCUGGAGCAAGCUAGGGGGCAAUGGAAUUCCCGGUGUAGUGGUGGAAUGCGUAGAUAUCGGGAGGAACACCAGUGGCGAAGGCGGUUGCCUGGAGCUUUGCUGACGCUGAUGCGCGAAAGCGUGGGGAGCAAACAGGG